UGUGUGAUUUACAUCAAUAAACCGAAUGCUGAUAUAUAACCAGGUGAACCAAAGGUUCAUAUGCUGAUUAUUUUUAGACUAUAAAUGAAGCUAACACCGCUAACUCUGACACAGACACCGCCAUUAUUGACAGGUGAGAUGAACUCUCCAUCCCUCAAAUUUCUUCAUAGUUUGUGGACAGAAUUUGAGAAUAAAAAUCACAACAGUCAGCAAGUCCCAGAUGAAACCGAAGAGUUAUAAGUAGGAAAGAGGGUGCUACAAGGAAUUAUUACUUAUUACUCAAACAGACAUGCAAAUAAGGUAUAUUCAGUUUUUGAAGGCUUUCACACCUUACUUAUGGCUUUGUCAUUCAUGAGUCUUAUGCAAUGUCAUUUAUCUGGUGAAGGGAGUUCAGCAGAUAAGGAACUCUGCUUCCACUUGAACUGCUCUUUAAUUACUGGGGUGGACAUACAGUGCUUGAAAAGAGAGGUAAUCCCAGCUGGCUACUCCUCCCAUCGUUAGCAGCAGCAAGCUGCUACAAUAGUUGAGUUCUCGCUGUCUCUCUCUCUUUCAAUAUAAAAAAGCAAACCCUGAGAAACUAGUUUUUAAAACACGAUACCCAGCAAAAGAAUACAUUACAGAAAGCACUUGAACAGUCAGAGAGAUAACUUUGCUGAUGUAUGUGGGAAGAGUCUUUUUGAGGAAAAGCAUGAAGGAAUGAAUACAGUUUCCCAUAUUCCAGCUUUACCUGCAGUUGUGAAAGUUAUCCUGUGAGUAGUUUUCUGAAGCAUCUACGAUCUCAUAACCCUAAACAUAUACAGAAUCUAGAAUAUUUUUGAUCUAGAAUAUUUUGUCUUUUAGAAGUACAGUGGUGCUUACAGAUUCUUUUCAAAGGUAGGUUAAUUUCCCUUUUUGAUAUUACUAAGUGAUAGCAAUGACCAGAUUUUCUUCAUGAACUGUUUUGUCUUUUCGUUUGUAGUGAAUCAUGAACUGUCGUUAUCCUUUCCUUUUCCCCACUUCCAGCUUCCUGUCAAAGAGGAUAAUCAAGUUCUGAAGAUUACCAAACACUCAGCUCCUGCAGCACACAGCUGCUCCAGAGGCCAUUAUGCCCUCACACCUCCUUUGCCUUUUGCCUCUCUCAUAUAUAAGAAGAUUACAAGAAACAAUGACCAUUCUGAAACUUUUGAAGACAGUGAAAGAAUUUUCAAAACAUUUUUAUGCAUUUUGUGUGCUGAAUGGACUAUACUCAAAUGCCUCUAGCUUGUAGGGAUGAGACAUUUUCUAAAGUUCUAUCAUUGUCAUAAAGAUUACAUUUGUAAAAAUUUGUGAGCUGCCCAAAUGUAUGAUAGAGCCCAUAAAAAUAUUCAUUAAGGAUUUUAUUAUUCCAUGAAUGGCAUCAUUGUUAAAUUAAUAUUCCUUAGUAGCUACUACUUUAUACAAGUCACAGACCACCAGACAGAAGCAUGUUUUUGUUCAUGCAUGCUCACAUGCUGAUUUUUUUUGCAAGGUUAGGGUCUGAAAUGCCGUUUAUUUCCCUACAAUCUUUCACACUAUUACUUCACAGCAGUUUAGCAUACUCAUUGCAAUGUGGUCAUUAAAGGUAAUAGUAAUAGUCAAAGGAGACUUAACAGGAAAAGAACAUUUCUUGACAAUGCUAUCACUGUGACAAAAAAAUGAUUUAAAACUUAAACUGUGUAAGUACACUAAGUGUAAGUACACUGUACUUACACUAAUUUCAAUCAAUGAUAAAACACAGUACUGAAAGCAUAAAAGGUAUGCUAACUGGAAGGAAUCUUUUGCCUGUGCUAUGAUUAACUCCACCUACACCAUUUGCAAGAGAUUAAGGAAGUUUAGAAUUAGAGAACACAUGUGUUACACAAGGAUAGCAGUCCAAAAGAGCACACUGACAGGCAGACACCCAUGAAAUGCUGCCUUGAAAUUCCUGUAUCCCAGCUUUCACUCCACCCUACUUGUAGCCUGGACAGCAGCAGCAGGAGAUCUGAUCGGACUCACGUUCUGCAGGGCCCUGCAGCAGGACCACUGAUGACCCCAAGUGAUUAAGGGUCAACAAACUUCAGCCUGAAGCAACCGUUCUAUGAACUUUGGCACAUUCUGAGUUGGCUCCUGCUGGUUUGUUGCCUUUGGCCCUUAUCUUGCAGUUUAGCAAGGAUUGUGAAAUUCUGAAUAAAGUUACAAGACAGAUAGGUUUUGCUUCAGUGAUUCAAGGUCUCACUCUUCAAAUGUUCUCAGUCCUUAAAAUUCCUUUGGCAAAUAAUCUCAUCUAUCAGCUAAACGUUUUCCAAUAGGUGUGUCGAAGGACGCACCCCACCCCACCCCCCUCAAAAAAAACCCCCAACAACAACAAAAACAAACAAAAACAAACCCAAAACCCCACCAAAAACCCCCGAGAUGUAAAAAAAGAAAAUAUCUGUAUAAAUAUGAUGUGGGGUAGGGAAAAAUUAUCAGAGAUUCUCUGUUGUAGCACUUUGGUGUGAAAAACUACCUGCAUUCUAUGUGUGUAUAAACAGCCCAUAACAGAAAACUCUUUGUAUUUUUUUCAGAUGGCUGAAGAGAAGAACUACUUCAGAAAAGUGCAAAUACCUUUGGAACAUGAAAAGGAAGAGGAAAAGAGGAGCAGCCCAGUUUCAAAAGUACUUGUAAGGCUAACCUCAUUGACUCCCACAUGCCCAAGUUGCCUACAAAAGAGGACUUUUGUAAAUUAGUAACGGUAAUUGUAAAGUCAAUUAGACUGCUGAAAAUUUUGCUGUGAAUUUUGCUUUCAAGGAAGAACUUAGGCCUUUGGCAGAAAUUAUGUUCUUCCUCCUUAAAAGUACAAGGAGGAGAACACAUAACUCCCUGGUGUCCUUUUUCUUGGCAAAGUUUUUUCUGCCAUUGUGGUGGCCUCAGUGCUGUAAUGGAAUACUUAAUGAAAUAAAGAUCUUCAGUGAUAGGUAAUCAUAGGUAGAUAUGUAAAUAAAAAGAGUACAGAAGACAUAAAAUAAAAUAUUAGGCUUGUCAAUAUUUCUUGGAAAAAGGCAACUCCAAAUGAGAAAAGAUCUCAUUCAAAUAUUUAAUGAGACCUGUGACAUCUUUCAGCAUAUUUUGAGAUGUAAACCUAAUCAGAUUCAGCUAAAUUGUCCUGGUGCUUCUCCCCUGAUCUUUACCUGUAAGAAGGUAGUUCCUACUUGUAGUAUGUAUUUAAACAUCCAUUCUCCCUUCCUUCUCUCCCUACCCUUCUUCUGAGCAGUCAGGACCAAGUAACAAAAUAAUCAUAGGAAGAAUUUUGUUCUUCUGCCUUCCUGCUUCCUUAGCUGGGGUAAUUCCUGGAGAAUUUAUCAUUCUAGUAAGGAGCUGUAGAAGAGCACUCAGGUUAAGGUUUUCAGUGUCUACAGUCAGAUUAUUGAGUACAUAGGCAAGGUAUCACCAAGACAUUUUCAAAAGUAAUUCAGAAGUGUAAAACUUAGUAAAAACUGUUCAGCUACAGGGCUAAUACAAGUAGAUACAGCAACAGGGCUUCCUUUCCUGGACACCAUCUUAGUCCUGGAGGUCACAUAAGAUGCAAUUCACAGCAUCUGGUGGCAGGUAGGUCCUUUGUAUUUGUUCAGCUCAGCAGCUGUCUACUUCUGCCUUUAAACAUCUAAUUUUUUUUUAAUUGUCCUUCUAGUAAUUUUCAGAAAUUAUUGAUUAGUGGCUCCAUUAAGAAAACAAUUUUGGACAAUUAGAUGUCUUCUUGAAGUGUAGAAUGGCUUCUAGGUA